rnacentral:lncRNA from 1 species
AUGUUUAAAAUGAAAUGCAUAUGAGUUAUGUGGAAAAAAACGGGAAGUGAAAUACCAUGCAUAGAAUUGAUAUGAAAAGUAUAUAGAAAUGUGAGUUGAAAUGCCAUGCAUGAAUUAAUAUAUGAUGCAUAUGUAUGAAUUGGUGCGGUGGACGCACAGGUAAGAAUUGAUUUAUGAUGCAUAUGUAUGAAUUGGUGCGGUGGACACACAGGUAAGAAUUGAUUUAUGAUGCAUAUGUAUGAAAUGGUGCGGUGGACGCACAUGUGAGUAUUUAUUUCUGUUAUGAUGAUGUUGAUGUAUAUUGAGCUCAAAUCCUGCACCAUAGUUUAGUGCUUAUAGUAUUCACCGCAUCGCACGCUCGUCUUGGAUCCAAGUAGAUGCUAGUCGUACAGUCCACGUGGAGUGGGUACGACAGGCCAGUCGCGAGAGUGUUAGUGAGAUUCCGACUGGUGGGUGACCUUAGAUUAUGUGUGCACAGAUGAUUUAUGAGAAGCACUAGAGCGUAACUUAUGUGCAGAAGGCCGUACAGGUCACGUGGAGUGACUCCGGCAGAGUGUGAGAUUGAUAGAUUUUGAGCUCUAGGUUCAACCGUACAGGGCUAUAGAGGGCCUCCGGUUGAUUACUUUCUUGCACCUGAUAUGAUUAUUGUUGAUGCAUCCAUACUUAACUGUUGAAUUAGACAUGGCAUGGCAUGAUUGAUAAAGAAAAAUGUUGAGAUAGUAAAAAUGAAGUUUUGAGAAUAUAUAUGUAUAUUUAUAUUUUACAUUUCUGGGAAAGUAUACAGGUUUUACGGAGAGGGGUUACAAUGCUUUGAGAAAAAAUUGGAUUUGAAAAGAAUUGUUUUACUGACCCACUCAAUUUUGGUUUUGCGCCCCUCCAGGUUCAGGAAUCACAAAGGUGUGGUGACUACGAGGAAUUCGACGGUGUUCUGACAGAUUGGACAAAAUUAGGACUCACCUUCGGGUGUAUCAAUUUAAAUUGUAUCUUAAAGCUUCCGUACUGUGCAAAUGGUUACGUCACUCUCACGUGACGGCCAGCAUGCCCUCCUUCGGGACGGGGUGUGUCAGUUGGUAUCAGAGCCAGACUCACGGCCGUUCGGUGUGCCGACGAGGAUGUCGGUCUCCCUAAGGGGGGUGGAUUGUAGUAUCCCACAUCGACGACGUGAGGGCUGUCCUUGGGCCUUAUAUGUAUUCGCUCGCAUGUACUCUUCGGAUACGCGUUUUGGAGCUGCGGCUUGCAAAAACAAACCCGUGAGUGGGGUCGGACCGGUGCGCCGGGUUCCACCACAAAGCGGACAAUAUCUCUGCGGAGGAAGGCGUGGUAUACACUGUUUGGUAUCAGAGCCAGACUCACGGCCGUUCGGUGUGCCGACGAGGACGUCGGUCUCCCUAAGGGGGGUGGAUUGUAGUAUCCCACAUCGACGACGUGAGGGCUGUCCUUGGGCCUUAUAUGUAUUCGCUCGCAUGUACUCUUCAGAGACGCGUUUUGGAGCUGCAGCUUGCAAAAACAAAUCCGUGAGUGGGGUCGGACCGGUGCGCCGGGUUCCACCACAAAGCGGACAAUAUCUCUGCGGAGGAAGGCGUGGUAUACACUGUUUAUACCAACUGACACACCCCGUCCCGAAGGAGGGCAUGCUGGCCGUCACGUGAGAGUGACGUAACCAUUUGCACAGUACGGAAGCUUUAAGAUACAAUUUAAAUUGAUACACCCGAAGGUGAGUCCUAAUUUUGUCCAAUCUGUCAGAACACCGUCGAAUUCCUCGUAGUCACCACACCUUUGUGAUUCCUGAACCUGGAGGGGCGCAAAACCAAAAUUGAGUGGGUCAGUAAAACAAUUCUUUUCCAAAUCCAAACAUUUCUCAAAACGUUGUAACCCCUCUCCGUAAAACCUGUAUACUUUCCCAGAAAUGUAAAAUAUAAAUAUACAUAUAUAUUCUCAAAACUUCAUUUUUUACUAUCUCAACAUUAUCUCUUUAUCAAUCAUGCCAUGCAUGAAUUAAUAUAUGAUGCAUAUGUAUGAAUUGGUGCGGUGGACGCACAGGUAAGAAUUGAUUUAUGAUGCAUAUGUAUGAAUUGGUGCGGUGGACGCACAGGUAAGAAUUGAUUUAUGAUGCAUAUGUAUGAAAUGGUGCGGUGGAUGCACAGAUGAGUAUUUAAUUACUGUUAUGAUGAUGAUGAUAUAUAUUGAGCUCAAAUCCUGCACCAUGGUUUAGUGCUUAUAGUAUUCACCGCAUCGCACGCUCGCCUUGGAUCCAAGUAGAUGCUAGUCGUACAGUCCACGCGGAGUGGGUACGACAGACCAGUCGCGAGAGUGUUAGUGAGAUUCCGACUGGUGGGUGACCUUAGAUUAUGUGCACAGAUGAUUUAUGAGAAGCACUAGAGCGUAACUUGUGUGCAGAAGGCCGGACGGGUCACAGAGGUGACUCCGGUAGAGUGAUAAUGAUAGAUUUUGAGCUCUAGGUUCAACCGUAUAGGGCUAUUAGAGGGCAUACGGUUGAUUACUUUCUUGCACCUGAUAUGAUUAUGUUGAUGCAUUCAUACCUUAUUACUGUUGAGAUGAUGUGGCAUGGCAUAAUUAAUAUGAGAAAUGUUGAGAUGACAACGGUUUAACCAUUUGGAAAAGAUGUUUCGGAUUAUGCAAGUUAAAGGAAAUUUCCUUCUGACAAGGGGUCGAGACGACUACCUGGUUUUGGGUAUGAAUUUGUAUCCUGGUGGAAACAGGAUUGUUAAUUGUUGUCACCGGAGGAAACAGCUGAUUGAGAAUUAUUUAAGGACUUGUUUAAGGAAAAGUUUAUCCCUCCGGCAUUUAUCGAUGGUAGUAAGCAAGAGUUUACAAAUGUGAAUCAAGGAAGUUGAUGAUAAAUGAAUAUUAUAGAAAGUUUUCAGACUUGCCUCGUUCCAUCCAGAUAUUUGAGACAAGGUGUCUCGAGUAAAGGAAAUGUACCUUGUGCAGCAGGUACAAAAUUAACACUUUGAGAAAUGUGAAAUCAAGGAAUGUGUUUAUGUGAACAGAGGGGACGCAGAAUUGUGAAUUGCCCCUAGAAUCAGUUGUACUCAACAAUUUUCCAUGAUAUCAUAGUGUCGAUUCAGCAGAGUUAUGGACUUAGUAGUUUGGUCGGAUUGACCGUGAGUACAGAGAGAUUUGAUGAGUUAUAUGUUCAGCCGUACAGACCAUGAGAAAUGGAUUCGACUGACACAUGAGAAAUUGGUGAGUUAUAGGUUCGGCCGUACUGACCACGCGGAGUGGAUCCGGCCGACGUAUUAUUGAGAUAAGAGUUGAAUCAGCCGUAUUGAUCAUUCUAGUUGACUUCGGCUGAUAUAUUUCUUAUUAUGUAUGUUAUUACCUAGAGAGUAGUAAAUAAAUGUAGUUGAGACGAGUGUAUGUAUUUUGCAUUGAGUGACAAAAUAGUAAUGUUAUAUCUUUGAGAGUGGUUGCCUACUUAUCGAGACAACGAUGAUUUAUCAGUAUUGCGGGCUGCAGACCGUAAUAUUAAUAACUCAUUCGUGGAUUCGUUAAGCAAGCAACCCGGUAGAUUAUUUUAUGUUAGUAUUGUACUUAUUUAGAAUGCUUAAUAAUAAUAGAAUAUAUAUUGUAUCAGUUAAUUUUGUUCCAUUAGAUUGGUUGGUUAUAAUUGUGACAAGACGGAAUGUUACGGGAAACCAGUAUUUUCCAUCGAUCUGGAUGACCAAAGAUUACUUUUGUAAGUAUGCAAAGUGGAUUGAGUCAGGCCGUUAUUUAUACUGUAAGAGCAAAGAGAUUGUUUUCGAAAGGCUGUCAAAAAUACUUAGCUCAUGUGGUGCUAAAUGAUGUUGUCCUAGAGAUAUAUUGUGGACCUCUGGAAGUUAUGGAUUUAAAAUCUGAGUGGCAGAUCUUCCGGAUCGAACUACGUAGUGACGUAUUUUAUAUAAGUUAUAUAUUCUAUCGAUAUGAAUUCUGAGGUUGGAUUUGAUUACUAUUCUAGGCGGCGAUCGUCGUGACGCCUUGAUGUGUGGUGCUAGGGAGUUGUUGGACGAACUCCAGGUGAGUGGGCAGUUUUGUUUUCCGUAUAUAUAUAUACUUGACGUUUCCCAGAAAUUGAAUUGAAAUGAAAAUAUGUUUAAAAUGAAAUGCAUAUGAGUUAUGUGGAAAAACGGGAAGUGAAAUACCAUGCAUAGAAUUGAUAUGAAAAGUAUAUAGAAAUGUGAGUUGAAAUGCCAUGCAUGAAUUAAUAUAUGAUGCAUAUGUAUGAAUUGGUGCGGUGGACGCACAGGUAAGAAUUGAUUUAUGAUGCAUAUGUAUGAAUUGGUGCGGUGGACGCACAGGUAAGAAUUGAUUUAUGAUGCAUAUGUAUGAAAUGGUGCGGUGGACGCACAUGUGAGUAUUUAUUUCUGUUAUGAUGAUGUUGAUGUAUAUUGAGCUCAAAUCCUGCACCAUAGUUUAGUGCUUAUAGUAUUCACCGCAUCGCACGCUCGUCUUGGAUCCAAGUAGAUGCUAGUCGUACAGUCCACGUGGAGUGGGUACGACAGGCCAGUCGCGAGAGUGUUAGUGAGAUUCCGACUGGUGGGUGACCUUAGAUUAUGUGCACAGAUGAUUUAUGAGAAGCACUAGAGCGUAACUUAUGUGCAGAAGGCCGUACAGGUCACGUGGAGUGACUCCGGCAGAGUGUGAGAUUGAUAGAUUUUGAGCUCUAGGUUCAACCGUACAGGGCUAUUAGAGGGCCUCCGGUUGAUUACUUUCUUGCACCUGAUAUGAUUAUUGUUGAUGCAUCCAUACUUAACUGUUGAAUUAGACAUGGCAUGGCAUGAUUGAUAAAGAAAAAUGUUGAGAUAGUAAAAAUGAAGUUUUGAGAAUAUAUAUGUAUAUUUAUAUUUUACAUUUCUGGGAAAGUAUACAGGUUUUACGGAGAGGGGUU